UGUAAAUGAUGAUAUUCUUCACAACAGCUGAAGCAGCUUGCUGCUAUGUAGAUCCCAAACGAGCUUUUUAAAUCUGAUAAAC
rfam:Nematostella vectensis strain CH2 x CH6 NEMVEscaffold_89_Cont11621, whole genome shotgun sequence.